rnacentral:rRNA from 1 species
GAUGAACGCUGGCGGCGUUCUUAACACAUGCAAGUCGAACGGACAGGCGCUGCUCUUGCUGGUUGCUCGAGUGGCGAACGGGUGAGUAUCACACGAGUAUCCUGUCCUUGACUUUCGGAUAACUUCAGGAAACUGGGGCUCUUACCCGAUAUGAGCUCUUGCUCCGCGGGGGGGGAUGGUAAGUUUCGGCGGUUGGGGAUGGUCUCGCGGGUUCUCAGCUUGUUGGUGGGGUAGUGGCUUACCAAGGCUUCGACGGGUACGCGGCGUGAGAGGGUGGACGGCGACAAUGGGACUGAGAGACGGCGCAGACUCGAACGGGAGGCAGCAGUGGGGAAGAUUGCAGAAUGAGCGGAAGCGUGAGGCAGCAGCGUCGCGUGCGGGAUGACGGCCUUCGGGGUGUAAACCGCUUUCGACGGAGACGAAGCGGGAGUGACGGUAAUGAAUAAAGAAGCACCGGCUAACUACGUG